CUCCUCUGGCAGUUUCAGUUGGCUGAGUGACUUUAGGAAGAUCUAGGUCCUGCAUGAGCUCAGAGGGAUUAGAUGGAGCUCCCAGUGUCCUCUCUGGUUUGGGUUCCUGUUUCACGGUUGGUGCCAGCAUCUGGGUUUUCAAUUUCAAGAUCUUCAUUGACAUCAAAGUGACACAAAUGUGUGGAUUUUACCGCAGUGAAUUCUAGAUUGCAUGAAGAGAUAAGCCAAAAAGAAGAAGAAACAUUUCUGCUGAAAAGCAACAAGCUUCAGUAAUUCUCAAGGAUAACUACUUGUCAGGGAUGAUUGGGGCGUGGAAUAAAAUAAUAAGUUUAAAAAUGACACAAAUUAAUACAUCAUAAUAUUAGUAACUCUACACAUACGAAGAACCAUAAUUAUGCCUUUAUGCCUGCAACAUGGGCUGCCAGUAAGACACACUAAUAAAAUAUUUCAAAUAAU